UACGUAGGGGGCUAGCGUUGUCCGGAAUCAUUGGGCGUAAAGAGCGCGUAGGCGGCCCGAUAAGUCCGCUGUGAAAGUCAAGGGCUCAACCCUUGAAUGCCGGUGGAUACUGUCGGGCUAGAGUCCGGAAGAGGCGAGUGGAAUUCCUGGUGUAGCGGUGGAAUGCGUAGAGAUCCGGAAGAACACCGGUGGCGAAGGCGGCCCGCUGGGCAGGAAGGGGUGGGUAACCAUCCGGCUGACACUGAGGCGCGACAGCGUGGGGAGCAAACAGG
rnacentral:rRNA from 1 species